CAAUAGCGUAUAUUAAAGUUGUUGCAGUUAAAAAGCUCGUAGUUGAAUUUUUGCUUGCCGCCGAUGUCGGAACUUCCGUACGUUCGGCGGCGUGCAUCCUUGGGUGGAACCUGUGUGGCAUUAGGUUGUCGUGCUGGGGAUGCUCAUCGUUUACUGUGAAAAAAUUAGAGUGUUCAAAGCAGGCUUACGCCGUUGAAUAUAUUAGCAUGGAAUAAUAAGAUAGGACCUUGGUACUAUUUUGUUGGUUUGCGCACCGAGGUAAUGAUUAACAGGGACAGUUGGGGGUAUUCGUAUUCCAUUGUCAGAGGUGAAAUUCUUGGAUUUCUGGAAGACGAACUACUGCGAAAGCAUUUACCAAGGAUGUUUUCAUUAA
rnacentral:rRNA from 1 species